rnacentral:tRNA from 1 species
GCAUUAAUGGGGUAGUGGUAACCUGGGUCGUUGCCAUUCGAGUUUAAGCUCGACCCGCCGGGGGUUCGAUUCCCUCUUAAUGCA